rnacentral:rRNA from 1 species
UACAGAGGGUGCAAGCGUUGUUCGGAAUUAUUGGGCGUAAAGAGCUCGUAGGCGGUCUGUCGCGUCUGCUGUGAAAACCCGAGGCUCAACCUCGGGCCUGCAGUGGGUACGGGCAGACUAGAGUGCGGUAGGGGAGAAUGGAACUCCUGGUGUAGCGGUGGAAUGCGCAGAUAUCAGGAGGAACACCGAUGGCGAAGGCAGGUCUCUGGGCUGGCACUGACGCUCAUGCACGAAAGCGUGGGGAGCAAACAGG